rnacentral:rRNA from 1 species
GAUUAACGCUAGCGGCAGGCCUAAUACAUGCAAGUCGAACGGCAGCACGGGUAGCAAUACCUGGUGGCGAGUGGCGCACGGGUGCGUAACACGUAUGCAAUCUACCUUUAACUGGGGAAUAACCCUUCGAAGAAGGGCUAAUACCGCAUAACACUUCGAGAAGGCAUCUUCAUGAAGUUAAACCUCCGGGAGUUAAAGAUGAGCAUGCGCUCGAUUAGCUAGUUGGCGAGGUAACGGCUCACCAAGGCGACGAUCGAUA